rnacentral:rRNA from 1 species
UACAGAGGGUGCAAGCGUUAAUCGGAGUUACUGGGCGUAAAGGGCGCGUAGGCGGUUGUUUAAGUGAGAUGUGAAAUCCCUGGGCUUAACCUAGGAACUGCAUCUCAUACUGAAUGACUAGAGUAUUGUAGAGGGUAGUGGAAUUUCCGGUGUAGCGGUGAAAUGCGUAGAGAUCGGAAGGAACACCAGUGGCGAAGGCGACUUUCUGGUCUGUAACUGACACUGAGGCGCGAAAGCGUGGGGAGCAAACAGG